rnacentral:rRNA from 1 species
UGCGUAGGCGGGCUAAUAAGUCAGUGGUGAAAUCCCUCGGCUCAACCGGGAAACUGCCAUUGAUACUGUUAGUCUUGAGUUCGGUUGAGGUAGGCGGAAUGUGUAAUGUAGCGGUGAAAUGCUUAGAUAUUACACAGAACACCAAUUGCGUAGGCAGCUUACUAGACCGACACUGACGCUGAGGCACGAAAGCGUGGGGAGCGAACAGGAUUAGAUACCCUGGUAGUCC